GAUGGUAGCGAGUCAAAUACAUACAUGCCCUGCGAGUGCAUUAAGAGCUUGCUCUUAUGAAGUUAGCGGCGGACGGGUGAGUAACACGUGGGUAACCUGCCCAUAAGACUGGGAUAACUCCGGGAAACCGGGGCUAAUACCGGAUAACAUUUUGAACCGCAUGGUUCGAAAUUGAAAGGCGGCUUCGGCUGUCACUUAUGGAUGGACCCGCGUCGCAUUAGCUAGUUGGUGAGGUAACGGCUCACCAAGGCAACGAUGCGUAGCCGACCUGAGAGGGUGAUCGGCCACACUGGGACUGAGACACGGCCCAGACUCCUACGGGAGGCAGCAGUAGGGAAUCUUCCGCAAUGGACGAAAGUCUGACGGAGCAACGCCGCGUGAGUGAUGAAGGCUUUCGGGUCGUAAAACUCUGUUGUUAGGGAAGAACAAGUGCUAGUUGAAUAAGCUGGCACCUUGACGGUACCUAACCAGAAAGCCACGGCUAACUACGUGCCAGCAGCCGCGGUAAUACGUAGGUGGCAAGCGUUAUCCGGAAUUAUUGGGCGUAAAGCGCGCGCAGGUGGUUUCUUAAGUCUGAUGUGAAAGCCCACGGCUCAACCGUGGAGGGUCAUUGGAAACUGGGAGACUUGAGUGCAGAAGAGGAAAGUGGAAUUCCAUGUGUAGCGGUGAAAUGCGUAGAGAUAUGGAGGAACACCAGUGGCGAAGGCGACUUUCUGUAGUGUAACC
rnacentral:rRNA from 1 species